ensembl:lncRNA
CCAGUGAGAACAAGAGCCCCAACUCAUCCUCCAAUACACUGAGAAUCUCCCAAUCUCUGUAGUUUCCAUCCCAGACCCCCUGAAGAAGGGGGAGGGGUUUGGGCAGCCCUACCUUGUCAUGUAUCAAUGAAAUAUAGUGUACCCAGUGAAAAAAGAAAAAAAAAAAGAACAAUACAAUGUCAGGUUUGCCUUCUCCCUGCCUCGCGUCUCUAAGUACCAGUUCAGAGGCCACCUGUCAUCUGGAUCACUCUUUGAUCCCCGCAGACAAGAUGACCCCUCUGGUUUCCCUGUCCUCGGACAGAAAGACUGUCUUGGGGUGCCUGGGUGGCACAGCGGUUGGGCGUCUGCCUUCGGCUCAGGGCGUGAUCCCGGCGUUAUGGGAUCGAGCCCCACGUCAGGCUCCUCUGCUAUGAGCCUGCUUCUUCCUCUCCCUCUCCCCCUGCUUGUGUUCCCUCUCUCGCUGGCUGUCUCUAUCUCUGUCGAAUAAAUUAAAAAAAAAUCUUAAAAAAAAGGAAGACUGUCUUAAUGGUCAUGAUCACAGCCCAAAGCAGUAUGUUGCAAAAUGGAUGUUGGUUCAAUUAUGAAUAAAGACUAAGACCCACAAAUGAAACACAAACAGUGAAUAAAACCAAAUACCUGGUAAAACAAAGAAACAAAUCUCAAAUAAUAAUUGAGAACACGUCAGUACGAGAAUUUGCACAGCCUUGCAGGUAUUUACAUAAUAUAGUUUUCCUAUGAUCUCUCCAACACAAGCAGAAUACUUCUAUUAUUUGCCCACAUAACCACCGUUGGCUUCCUUUGCACAAACAAGAAGAAGGAAUGUUUGGAUGAUCUCUUGGGCUUAAGUGAGAUUUUGCCCAAACCAACAAUGAGCUCUGGUCACAAUUAGCUUCCCUUCAUCUCAUGAGUUUCUAGAGCUGUAGGAAAAUUACUUUUUGAAUCCAGGUUAGAUCUCACAUAGAACAUUGUAAAUGUACUCAAAAAAGGUAUGUUCUUGGAACACCUGGGUGGCUCAGUCGGUUAAGCAUCUGCCCUAGGCUCAGGUCAUGAUCCCAGGGUCCUGGGAUCGAGCCCCACAUCAGGUUCCCUGCAGUGGGGAGUCUGCUUCUCCCUCUCCUCUCCUCCUCCCCCCACUCAGCCUCUCUCACUCUCUCACUCUCUCUCUCUCAAAUCAAUAAAUAAAAUCUUUAAAAAAAAAAGAUAUAAUCUCUGGGUGAACUGCGUCCUUGCGGUAGUAAACUAAGCUAUGGGUUUUAUUAAGUAAGCCCUCAGGAAUUCCCACUUAUCUGGCCCCAACUUUAAUAAACAUUCAAAUGUCACUGAUUGAACAGACAGAAAAGACUACUCACUCUGUAAUUCCAUUUAUACGUUAUUCUAGAAAAGGCAAAAUUGUAUUGACACAAAGUGGGACAGGGGUUCCCAGGACAGGCUGCAAAGGGGCGUGAAGGAACUGGGGUGGUGGUGGAAAUGUUCAAUAUACAUUAUGUGGUGGGCGCUAAAUGACUCCACGCAUCUGGACAAACUGCAUCAGAUCGGACAGUUAAAAUCAGUCGUUCUUAUUGUAGGUUAAUUCUACUUCAACAAAGCCACUAAAAUCCAAUGACCAAGUUGGGUACAUGACAACUUGUGAUUCUUAUAAUUCAUCGCUGCAAUUGCCUUAUGUUUCAGAGUUAUGCUCUGAAGAAAUUUAGAAAACUCAAGUGUUUCUCGCUUUAUCACAGGCAAUAUCAUGGGCGACAAUUGGGCUAAAAUAGAACCAGUUUAUAGAGUGCACAGAUGAAGAUGGG